AAACACUGCAUAAACAAUCAGCUCACAUGUGUGUCCCAGAGCGUAUGACCAAUGACCUGGAGAACUCUCAGGCUGUGGGGUGGAGAGAAGGCCAUUCUGAGGUCAACUGAAACCUCACUUGAGGGGCAGUUCCGUAGAUGGGAAUGAGGAGAGAGUCAUGGCCACAGCCACCUGGCCAAGGAGAGAGGCCAUAACUGCCAGACAGAACCAAGGAUGGAGGGACUUCAGCAGCACGAACAAUCCACACUCAGCAUGGGUCACUCUCUGGGACACACAUUUCCCUCUGGCUGAAAGGCUGAGCUGCUCCAGGGCCAACUGUGAGGUCAGACAGCUGCCCAGGGAUGUCUCCAGCCACUCAAGGGAAGAAGAGACCACUCACCUGUAAUUUCAACAGCAACAAAAGACCUGAGGUUCCACCAUCAGAACUUCACGCCCUAAGGAAGAUGCAGCAUUUCCUGUAAAAUGCAAGUGCUCCCAGGCAGAGAGCCAGAAUUGAUUUCGUGGCUUUCUUUCUCCUCUUCUGGGAUUUUGUGCCCUAUUGCCACAGAAACCCUGGGCCCCUUCCCCAGCUGUCAUGAAGGUGCCUGAGUGAUGGUCAGAGAGAUGACCGGAGGGGCCCACCCGGCCACCGCAGCAGCAGCAGCCAAGGCGGGACUAAGCCUCCACACCCCACAUCUCAGUCGUGGCCAGCCCGGGAUGCCUGCCUCUCCUGCCCUGUGGUGUUGCUGUCCUCAUAUGACCCUUCAGUCCCCCGACAUCUGGACAGGCUUUAGGGACCUGCUUGAGCAGAACAUGGUAGAAGUGAUGGACUGGGGCUUCUGAGGCUAAGCCAUAAGAAGCCUUGAGAAUUUCACCUGGCCCUCACUGUCUCUGGGAGCCCUGAGCCAUGAUAGAAGAAGUCCUUCCUAUAUUGAAUGUCCUUGAGACCUCCAGUACUGGAAAGGGCAUUUGUAGAUGCUCAGACCAACAGUCCAAACUGAGCCCAGUCUGCCAACUUGCCCUGCCAAGGUGUCAGAUGCAUAUGUGAAUGAGACCAUCCUAGACCUGCUGAUAGCCCAUCACCCGGCUGACUGCUACUGAGUAACCUCUGCCAACUUCACGCCGAACACAGAACUGCUGAUUUGAACUCUGCCUGAAUUUCUUGGCCCACAGAACAAUGAGAUAUAAUUAAAAGGCAAUGGUUC
rnacentral:lncRNA from 10 species